rnacentral:rRNA from 1 species
GAUCAACGCUGGCGGCGUGCCUAAUGCAUGCAAGUCGAACGGGACAUCCUUCGGGGUGCUUACGUAGCGGACGGGAGAGGAGCACGUGGGCGAGCUGCACCGGGGUGGGGGGUAGCGGCCGGAAACGCGGGGGAAUACCGAAUCAGCUCAUCGACCGGAGGUAGGGGUGAGGACAGGCGCGCGGGAGGCGUCGCGGGAUGGGCGGGCGGGAGAUUAGAUUGGUGGUGGGGUGAGGGCAUACCCAGGGGGUGAUCCGAAGCUGGGCUGAGAGGACGGGCAGCCACACGGUGAGGGAGACACGGCCCGGACUCCUACGGGAGGCGGCAGCAAGGAAUUUUACGCAAUGGGCGAAAGUGUGACGGAGCUACGGCGCGUGGAGGAGGUUGGUUUGGGGGGUAUAACCGCCUUUUAAUGGGGACGAGGACCGACGGUACCCGAGGAAGAAGGACCGGCUAACUACGUG